ACUGUGGACUCAAUUUCAAUCAAAUUACCGGAAUAUGUUACAAUGACAGCUGCUGCAAUGGCUCCAUAUGUCAGCUGGCAGUGAGAAAUGAAGCCUCAGUGGAUUGCAGUCCUCAACAGGGCAGCUGCUGUCUGCAGAACUGUUCUUUCAGGACCCUGGAGAGCAACUUUACUUGUUUCCUGGAAGAUGACUGUGCUUUCAAUCAAACUUGCAAA